GGUCAAGCAAGAAAGAGCACGAGGUGAAUGCCUUGGCACUGGGAGCCGAUGAAGGACGUGAUAAGCUGCGAAAAGCUUCGGGGAGGCGCACAUAGCCAAUGAGCCGGAGAUAUCCGAAUGGGGGAACCUGCCUAAGAAAACCUUAGGUAUCUGUAUGUAAAUCCAUAGCAUACAGAAGGGAACGCUGUGAACUGAAACAUCUAAGUAGCAGUAGGAGGAGAAAGAAAAAUCGAUUUCCUAAGUAGCGGCGAGCGAAAGGGAAAGAGGCCAAACCAGGAGACAAAGUUUUCUGGGGUU
rnacentral:rRNA from 1 species